rnacentral:tRNA from 1 species
GCAAAAGUGGCGGAAUUGGCAGACGCGCAGGAUUUAGGUUCCUGUGGGGUAACCCGUGGGGGUUCGAUUCCCCCCUUUUGUA